rnacentral:misc_RNA from 1 species
AACGCACAUUGCGCCCCUUGGUAUUCCGGGGGGCAUGCCUGUUCGAGCGUCAUGAUAACCCUCAAGCUCAGCUUGGUGUUGGGGCCUGCCUAUCGGCAGCCCUUAAAAUCAGUGGCGGUGCCAUCUGGCUCUAAGCGUAGUAAUUUUUCUCGCUACAGGGACCUGGUGAACGCUUGCCAAUAACCUAUAUUUUUAUGGUUUGACCUCGGAUCAGGUAGGGAUACCCGCUGAACUUAA